GUCUGGUAGGUGUAAGCUACAGUGAAAGCUGAUCAGAUUGUUGUUGUUUUUUUACAUGCAUUUAAGAAAAUAGAGUAGCGUCCUGCUGGACGUGUUGAAAAGUUGGAUGAGAUAGACGUUAACAGCCGUCACUUUAUUGCAGGAACUCAAAAUGGUCACUGUCAGCUGUUGUGCCGAAAUGAGCAUGCUUGCCUAGAUUUAACGACGCCAAUACAAAAUGAAAAACUCAGACCAAACUCUCCACUCCUCACAAUCAACACACAGAACAGAGUGAAAAGAAUACAGCAUUUUUAACAAGAACAUUACUGCAGGGUCGCUACAAUAUAUAUGGAAAACUAAUAUGCAUUACUUUGUUUGACAUCCAUUUGUGGCAUGUUUUAAAUGGGACCAAAAUGUAACAAACCCUAUAAAAUGACCAAGAACAAAGCUAAAUUGAUUCUUAAAUAUUAAUUAUAUACCCAGGUCUCAGUUUUGGAUGGACUUUUUUGGAGACCUAAGAGACUCUGGAAACUUCAGUGGAAGCCACGAACACCAAUGCUUGCUGAGAUUCUGCUUCACAGGGGUUCUACAGAAAGACCUGGAUGAAUGCAAAGACCUCUGGAACAAACACAGGAUCCGGCCAAGCAGACUUGCAUCGUGUCCAGGGGGGAUUCCAAACGAACUCUCUCUUGCCUCACAGAUAUGGUUCAAGAGACUGUGGAUUUGCUGUUGAGGAGAGGGAACUGGAUGUGUUUCCCGAGGAGGGGCUACCGGUUGGAUUGUGUGGUGAUCCAAACAUUGAGGAAUAUUUACAACAGGCUGUACAACAAAACACACUGCAGCAGCCACAAGACUGGGAAUCGGCCACAGAACUGUAUUUGGCUCUGAAGGACAUAGCUGGGUUUUAGAUACCAACUGAACUUCAGUUUGUAAUGACAUUUGUCAGAGUUACUCUGACGAAGACACACACGGUGUCGAAACGUUAGUUUCUUUCCUUUUUUUGCACCUAAUAAAACCUUUGGACUUAC